UUGGAAUACAAAUAUGGCAAGCUACAUACGGGGCGUUACAUCAUGUUACUUGACCAUGACGAACCUAUGAACUAUGAGGAAGUGAUGAUGAGCCCAGAUUCUGCAAAAUGGCUCGAGGCCUUGAAAUAUGAGAUGGGAUCCAUGUAUGAGAACAAGAUUGUAGGCUCUGGGAGGGAUUCAGAUUUGUUUGUUGAUUGGAAGAAGAAGAAGAUGAUCCCUGUUACUCCUCAAGAAGAUCUGCUCUCUGCUUUCUCUGCUUUAGAAAGCAAUGACAACAACAAGGACACCGACAUGAGUUCUGUUUCUGGCAUGUGA
rnacentral:rRNA from 1 species